rnacentral:rRNA from 1 species
GUGUCAGCAGCCGCGGUAAUACGUAGGUGGCAAGCGUUGUCCGGAUUUAUUGGGCGUAAAGCGAGCGCAGGCGGUUUUGUAAGUCUGCUGUGAAAGCCCUCAGCUCAACUGAGGAAGUGCAGUGGAAACUACAAAACUUGAGUACAGAAGAGGAAAGUGGAACUCCAUGUGUAGCGGUGAAAUGCGUAGAUAUAUGGAAGAACACCAGUGGCGAAGGCGGCUUUCUGGUCUGUUACUGACGCUGAGGCUCGAAAGCAUGGGUAGCGAACAGGAUUAGAUACCCUGGUAGUCCAUGCCGUAAACGAUGAGUGCUAAGUGUUGGGAGGUUUCCGCCUCUCAGUGCUGCAGCUAACGCAUUAAGCACUCCGCCUGGGGAGUACGACCGCAAGGUUAAAACUCAAAUAAAUUGACGG